rnacentral:rRNA from 1 species
AAUUUUGGACAAUGGGCGCAAGCCUGAUCCAGCCAUUCCGCGUGCAGGAUGAAGGCCCUCGGGUUGUAAACUGCUUUUGGACGGAACGAAAAGCCGCUUUCUAAUACAGAGCGGUCAUGACGGUACCGUCAGAAUAAGCACCGGCUAACUACGUGCCAGCAGCCGCGGUAAUACGUAGGUGGCAAGCGUUGUCCGGAUUUACUGGGCGUAAAGAGCGCGCAGGCGGUCGAUCAAGUCGCGUGUGAAAGCCCCCGGCUCAACUGGGGAGGGUCACGCGAUACUGAUCGACUCGAAGGCAGGAGAGGGUAGUGGAAUUCCCGGUGUAGUGGUGAAAUGCGUAGAUAUCGGGAGGAACACCAGUGGCGAAGGCGACUACCUGGCCUGUUCUUGACGCUGAGGCGCGAAAGCUAGGGGAGCAAAC